rnacentral:snoRNA from 1 species
CCGAGCCUACGAUGGUUAGUUAUCCCUCUCUGAAAAUCUCCACUAAGGGAAGACAAUCUGUUCUGAGGCUUAA